UUAGGAGGCUUGUCCCGUCGCCGCCGCCAUCCAUCUUCCUCGGGAUCCCCAUCGCUCAAAUCCCACGCUAUCUCUGUUUCCCCACCGAGCCAAUCCCCUCCACCUCGCAGCAGCCAGCCCCGCGCCUCCCUUCUCCUGCGGGGACGCGUCCCCGCCACGGCAAGCCACAACAGCCAGGACCCGGGAGCCUCGCGCCCACAGCCAGGUGCUGCACCUCGAGCUCCUGAGCGUGCUGCCCGACCCCGCCGACUCCUCCGACCGGCCGGCCGCUGAGCCGCCGGAGCCGCAACAGCCAGUCACCGGCGCGACCGCCGCCUUGACCUCCCAGCACCGCAAGGCCCGUGGCCUCCUUCUCUUCCCUCUCUCACUUGUUCUCCCUCUCACGCAUCCCUCUCUCUGUUGGAUAUGCGCAGGAGCUGUCCUGUCAUGGGCGCGUCCUGCGCGAGCUUGCAGGUCGCCGCCGAAGCUCCUGGGCGGCCGUGUGAUGUCGGGAAUCGGUCCCUGCCGCCCGGAUCCUCCCGUCCCCAUUGUGGAUCUGGAUCCCCACGUCCUCCUCGUGUCGCCUGAGCCCGGAGCCGCCACCACGAUUGCAGCUAGGCCGACCCUGUUUCACCUGGUGUUCGUGAGGUACAACAAGGCGUUGUUCUGUUUUCAGUUUCAGAUCCGCGGUAGUGUUGUUUCUCAUAGUUAAAGCUCCAUUGUUUGACGCAAAUACUUGGUAGCUGAGUUGGUCAUCGUCGCUCUAUGUAAAUGAUGGGUCUGGUGUUCAAAUCCCAUGCACCCUGAUUUUCCUGCACACUUGCAUGUGCCUUGUAGUGAGACUCAAGGGGUCCUGGGUUUGAAUCCUAGACACCCCAAUAUUUUGCUUUGUCUCAUUUUUAGAUUCAGAUUCGCAUCAGCAUAAUUUCAUAUAGUGUGAACCUUGGUUUUGUCACAAGCGCUUUGUAGACGACUGGUUGGUGCCUUGACUUCCUCAAGGGAGGUCCUGAGAUCGAAUCCCAGGGUAGCCCAAGCUGUUGCAAUUCGGCCUAUGCUUAUUUAUUUUUCCUUCAGCGAUUUCAUCAAUAACCUAGCCCUGCAUUGUUGUAUGAGUUACGAGUAGGUCCUUCUGUAGAUGCCAUGUUAGUUGCACGUACCCCAUAUUCAUGCCUCCGGUACAUGGGAACCUAGUAACCAUGAUCAUCCCAUCAUUCUUUGGCAUGACACACACACUCUCAAUUCGUUUGCACCGGUAUCUGAUGCUUAUUUAUUUUUCCUUCAGCGAUUUCAUCAAUAACCUAGCCAUGCAUUGUUGUAUGAGUUACGAGUAGGUCCUUUUGUAGAUGCCAUGUUAGUUGCACGUACCCCAUAUUCAUGCCUCCGGUACAUGGGAACCUAGUAACCAUGAUCACCCCAUCAUUCUUUGGCAUGACACACACUCUCUCAAUUCGUUUGCACCGGUAUCUGACACGCACACACUCCCAAUUCGUUUGCACCGGUAUCUUGUCGAGUUAUCGGAACCGGAACGCUAUUGUGGUUGUCAUUUGCAUGCAUGUUGCAUCCAUGUCAUAUGAUCUUGUGUUUCUCGUAUCUAGUUAACCAACUAGAAUGACGUGUAGAAUCACAUGCUUCACCUCUUGUCAUGUUUAAACAACAUUUAAUAUUGCCAUGUAUCUAAAAGGGAGUGAACUAAAUAAUUUGUAUGUGAAGUUUCAUCAAAAUGUAACUCGUUUCAUGUUGAACUCCGCUUAAUGUGUAGUGUUUGAUUGUUGUGAAUAGCCAUGCCAUGCCUUGCAUAAUUGAACCGAUCAUGCAUCAUAUUAGGGGGUGCAUCAUAUCGUGCAUGUGACAUGGUGAAUAUCGUGUGUUGAUUCUUGUCUCCAGUUUGCUUCUUCUCGUUAGAGUUCCGCAAGCGUGUCGGAAUGUGAGGAUCCGUUCGACUACGUCGGUUCGUUUGCUUCACAGAUUCGUUCUUCGUCCAAGUGGGAUCACACGCAAGACGAUCAUUUCCCUAGAUACCAUUACUAUUAAUGCCGUGCUAGUUGUCUCAUUUCUUUCAUUAUGUCUCGUUGUCUACCACCUAUUAAAUGUCAGCCUCUCAACAUUGCCAUGGAACCUUCAACUUCUACAACCUUGCAAACCACUGUUUGGCUAUAUUACCGCUUGCUUAACCAUGUGUUAGCGUUGCUAGUUGCAGGUGUCGUUGCUUCCAUGUGGUAACAUGGGUUUCUUGUUAUAUCAUCAUAUUAUUGCUAAUUAAUUUAGCAGACCUAUAUACUUGGUAAAAGGUGGAAGGCUUGGCUUUCUAGCCUAGUGUUUUGUUCCACCUUUGUUGCCUCAGUUUCGGCUACCGCUGUUAUAUUCCACAAUUGAGCGCUCCUAACACGAUCAGAGUUGUUAUGGGAACCCCCUUGAUAAUUCGUCUUAGAUUAAAACUGGUCUGGCAAGACCCAACUUUGGUACUAUAUUUGCCUAAUUAACUAAUGAACCACAAAGGGUUUGAUCACCCCGUGGAUAAUUAAUCAACCCCCACGCGAGUGCUCCUCAAGAGUGUUGGUCCAAACUAGAGUCGUGUGCGGGGCCAACCCGGGGCAACUCAUGAGAUCUCUAUCACGCCACUGUAUGCUGCGCUCAUCCGGUCGUGUCCUGAGAACGAGAUACGCGACUCCUAUAAGGUUCGUCGACACGUCGGGCGGCCUUGCUGGACUUUUUUUUUACCUUUUACGAAAUAUCUUGUUCAUCGGGAUUCCGGUGAUGCUUUAGGUUAUCUCAGAGUUGAGGUUUUCCACUAAGGAAUCCGAGGAGAUCAUGAGUCUCGUGAUCGAGGCUUUCUAUGUGGCUUGUGGUAGUUUGUGAUGGAUUAGUUGGAGCACCCCUCCAGGGUUAAAUAUUUCAGAACGCCAUGCCCGCGGUUAUGUGGCAACGUGGAAACUUUGUUUAACAUCUGCUUCUAGAGAACUUGAAGUAAGGUUAAUUAAAAUAUGCCAACUUUGUGCGUAUUCGUGACUGUCUCUCUCGUGAGUUCCUUUCUCCGACUGAGGACAUGGUGGGGUUAUGUCUGACGUAAGUAGGUGUUCAGGGUCAUUCAUUUGAUCAUCAUUAAUUCAUGUCUAUUAUGCGUAGGUCAUCCCCCUCUUAUUCUUGUACUCGUAAGUUAGCCAUCUCAAAUAAAUGUUUAGUCACUUGCUGCACCCUCACCACUUAACCAUAUCUCACACAUUAAGCUUUGCUAGUCUUAGAUACAUUUGGAACUGAGAUUGCUGAGUUCCCUGUGGCUCACAGAUUACUACAACACCAGUUGCAGGUACAUGUAAAGUGAUAUUAAGACGUCAGCGCGAUGUUGUGCUAUUUGGAGUUUCUUCUUCAUCAUCGAUCUCGGAUUGGUUCCAGGCCGGCAGCCUGGGAUAGCAAGGAUGGACAUCGUUCUUUUAUUGUUUGUUCUCGUCCGUAGUCGGACCCUGCUCUUCCUCAUGAUGAUUGUAUAUUGUUGUAUUGAUGUGAACUUGAUGUAGCUUGUGGCGAGUGUAAGACAAUUCCAUAUACUCAUCUAUUCUGUACAUGUAAUUGUAACGAUAUCCAUUAUUACAAAACGACGAGAUGCGCUUCUAUCCGUGUCGAGGCCCUCGUGCCAAAAUAAGGAUAGGGUCGCAUCUUGGGUGUGACAAUUAGUUGCAUCAAUUUGAGUUCUUCACGGUGAUACAUGUAAGUGAAAUUUGAGAAGAUUAUUACUCUUGGGUGUUUGGGCACCCUAGAGCUUGUGACUCUUGGAUGAUUUGGCGCCCUAGAUGGUUGGUGGUGUCUCGGAG
rnacentral:lncRNA from 1 species